GGGUUGCUAGCUCAGUCGGUAGAGCACUUGACUUUUAAUCAAGGGGUCCGGAGUUCGAGCCUCCGGCAAGCCACCA
rnacentral:tRNA from 1 species